rnacentral:rRNA from 1 species
AACGAACGCUGGCGGCAUGCCUAACACAUGCAAGUCGAACGAGACCUUCGGGUCUAGUGGCGCACGGGCGCGUAACGCGUGGUAACCUGCCCUUAGGUUCGGAAUAACUCCCCGAAAGGGGUGCUAAUACCGGAUAAUGUCUUCGGACCAAAGAUUUAUCGCCUUUGGAUGGGCCCGCGUUGGAUUAGCUUGUUGGUAGGGUAAAAGCAUACCAAGGCGACGAUCCAUAGCUGGUCUGAGAGGAUGAUCAGCCACACUGGGACUGAGACACGGCCUAGAAUCCUACGGGAGGCAGCAGUGGGGAAUAUUGGAAAAUGGGCGAAAGCCUGAUCCAGCAAUGCCGCGUGAGUGAUGAAGGCCUUAGGGUUGUAAAGCUCUUUUAACCGGGAUGAUAAUGACAGUACCGGGAGAAUAAGCUCCGGCUAACUACGUG